rnacentral:rRNA from 1 species
GGCUCAUUAUAGAGCUAUAAUUUACUUGAUGUUGACACAAUCCUACUUGGAUAACUGUGGUAAUUCUAGAGCUAAUACAUGCAUUAAGCUCUGACCUCACGGGAAGAGUGCAUUUAUUACAACAAAACCAAGCGGCUUCGGCUGUUUCUGGUUGACUCAUAGUAACUGAGCUGAUCGCAUGGUCUUGCACCGGCGACGUGUCUUUCAAGUAUCUGCCGUAUCAACUUUCGAUGGUAGUGUAUCUGACUACCAUGGUGAUCACGCGUAACGGAGAAUAAGGGUUCGGCUCCGGAGAGUUCGCCUGAGAAUCGCGAACACAUCUAAGGAAGGCAGCAGGCGCGAAAAUUACCCACUCUCAGCACGAGGAGGUAGUGACGAAAAAUAACGAGACCGUUCUCUUAUGAGGCCGGUCAUCGGAAUGGGUACAAUUUAAACCCUUUAACGAGUAUCUAUGAGAGGGCAAGUCUGGUGCCCGCAGCCGCGGUAAUUCCAGCUCUCAAAGUGCAUAGAAUUAUUGCUGCGGUUAAAAAGCUCGUAGUUGGAUCUGUGCCAUAGGACGUGGUCCACCUUCGGGUGCGUACUACGCUCCUAGGCUUUUUGCUGGUUUUCCCGUCGUAGCCUUCACUGGUUGCGGCGGGUGGCUGGCGAGUUUACUUUGAGAAAAUCAGAGUGCUCAAUACAGGCGUAUCGCUUGAAUGAUUGUGCAUGGAAUAAUAGAAAAGGAUUUCGGUCCUCUUUUAUUGGUUUUGUGGACUGAGAUAAUGGUUAACAGGGACAAACGGGGGCAUUCGUAUCUCUGCGUGAGAGGUGAAUUCUG